rnacentral:rRNA from 1 species
GCCGGGGUUUCUUUACCAGGUACUGUCAUUAUCAUCCCUGGCGAAAGAGCUUUACGACCCUAGGGCCUUCAUCACUCACGCGGCAUGGCUAGAUCAGGCUUUCGCCCAUUGUCUAAGAUUCCCC